rnacentral:rRNA from 1 species
AUGCAGUCGACGGCAGCACGGGGGCAACCCUGGUGGCGAGUGGCGAACGGGUGAGUAAUACAUCGGAACGUGUCCUGUAGUGGGGGAUAGCCCGGCGAAAGCCGGAUUAAUACCGCAUACGCUCUGCGGAGGAAAGCGGGGGAUCCUUCGGGACCUCGCGCUACAGGGGCGGCCGAUGGCAGAUUAGCUAGUUGGUGGGGUAAAGGCCUACCAAGGCGACGAUCUGUAGCUGGUCUGAGAGGACGACCAGCCACACUGGGACUGAGACACGGCCCAGACUCCUACGGGAGGCAGCAGUGGGGAAUUUUGGACAAUGGGCGCAAGCCUGAUCCAGCAAUGCCGCGUGUGUGAAGAAGGCCUUCGGGUUGUAAAGCACUUUUGUCCGGAAAGAAAACCUCGUGGUUAAUACCCGUGGGGGAUGACGGUACCGGAAGAAUAAGCACCGGCUAACUACGUGCCAGCAGCCGCGGUAAUACGUAGGGUGCAAGCGUUAAUCGGAAUUACUGGGCGUAAAGCGUGCGCAGGCGGUUCGCUAAGACAGAUGUGAAAUCCCCGGGCUUAACCUGGGAACUGCAUUUGUGACUGGCGGUCUAGAGUAUGGCACAGGGGGGUAGAAUUCCACGUGUAGCAUUC